rnacentral:rRNA from 1 species
GAUGAACGCUGGCGGCGUGCCUAAUACAUGCAAGUCGAGCGAACAGACGAGGAGCUUGCUCCUCUGACGUUAGCGGCGGACGGGUGAGUAACACGUGGAUAACCUACCUAUAAGACUGGGAUAACUUCGGGAAACCGGAGCUAAUACCGGAUAAUAUAUUGAACCGCAUGGUUCAAUAGUGAAAGACGGUUUUGCUGUCACUUAUAGAUGGAUCCGCGCCGCAUUAGCUAGUUGGUAAGGUAACGGCUUACCAAGGCAACGAUGCGUAGCCGACCUGAGAGGGUGAUCGGGCACCUGGGAACAGAGAAACGGUCAAGACACCUACGGGAGGCAGCAGUAGGGAAUCUUCCGCAAGGGGCGAAAGGCGGACGGAGCAAAGCCGCGUGAGGGAUGAAGGUCUUCGGAUCGGAAAACUAUGUUAGUAGGGAAGAACAAAUGUGUAAGUAACUAUGCACGUCUUGACGGUACCUAAUCAGAAAGCCACGGCUAACUACGUG